AUUCCUACGGGAGGCAGCAGUGGGGAAUAUUGCACAAUGGGGGAAACCCUGAUGCAGCGACGCCGCGUGAGUGAAGAAGUAUUUCGGUAUGUAAAGCUCUAUCAGCAGGGAAGAAGCAAGACGGUACCUGACUAAGAAGCCCCGGCUAACUACGUGCCAGCAGCCGCGGUAAUACGUAGGGGGCAAGCGUUAUCCGGAUUUACUGGGUGUAAAGGGAGCGUGGACGGUAUGGCAAGUCUGAAGUGAAAGCCCAGGGCU
rnacentral:rRNA from 1 species